rnacentral:snRNA from 1 species
AUCCUCUGGUUUCCCUUCAGAUCAUAUACAUCUUCGGCCUUUUACUAAAGAUUUCCUUGGAGAGGAACAACUCCGAGUUUUUACCCAACUUUUUGAGUGCUUGCACUUGCAGGGC